CAUAUACCUACCUUGUUACAUUUUAUGUCAAACGAAGUACUUAAUAAGUUGACAUAUUGUGCUACCCAUUCUUUGGAAUUUAGUUAAUAUAAAAACUAUUUUUUCGGAAUUAUUAAGAUGUUAUUACUGGAAAUGAACAGACCAGCUUACGGUCCACUUGGUAUUUAGUGGUUACCGGAGCCCAUUGAUAUCACAACGUGAACAAUGUCAGCAACCUUGAGUUUUGAGGUCAAAUUUUCAAAUGUCUUUUGUAUAACGACUAUACCACCAUUCAAGCCGGAAAGCAUAACUAACAAAUAUACGACCAAUUAUAAAUUACCACAUAUUUGAAGAAUAUUUAAACUUACAUAGGUAAUGAAGAGGAUAAUGACAUACUGUAUCCAAAGAUAAUUUUAUUACAGAGUAGAAAACUAUGUGGUGUGAUUUCGCGUGAUGCGUGACAAGUAUAAACAACUUCCUACUUUUCACGCUGACAUCCGAAACACUUCAACUGCAAAAUCACCUAAACUGGGUGACGACAAAAAAAUGAUUUAGUACCAGCAGCAGUGUAUUUACAUCGCUAAACAUUCCUACUACACUGCUACUAAAGAUGUCUUGAAUAAACAGAAGCUUAGUUUUUCAUAUCACUUUUUAGCCAUUUCUAAAAUGUCUACAAAAUACCAUAAAAAUUGCACGAAAGACCCAAAUGAACUCGAAGAUCCAACCCGAAAACAACCCGAUGAACAACUAACCCGAAAAUUGAAGCCAUUAACUACAAAACCUCUAUGCGAUUGCAGCAAUUGCACCUGUAAAGAUUGUCCAGAUGUGUUAAAAACCUUUUCUAUUAAUGUUACUGAAGAUUCCUGCGAUUUUGGUACAAAAAAAGUUGAGCAAAUUGACGAGAGCUCACAUGAAGUGUCCAUAAAAGACUGCCAAAGUUUGCUAGACGUGUUAAAUAACACCCGAAACUGUACAUGUGAAAUAAUUGCCAAAGUAGUACGAUCAAAUGUUUAUAUACACAGGGGAAAACAUAAAGUUUCUGAUAUCAUAGAUGAAACCAACGUAGCAAACGUAUCGAUUAAACCAGAGGAAUAAAAUUCAAAAUACACUGAAGCAAUUUUUAUUUGAAUUAACAAAUACAUACAAUAAGUCAAAGAAAAAAAACAUUCAAUUUUUUAAAAGUGAAACUAAUGUUAUUAUUAUUUUCGUUAUGACGUUUCUCCAUAUUUAUUUAUGAUUACAAAUAUAAUAAAAUAACGAAUUAUUCAUCAAUUAUUA